UUUAAUAAAUUGUUAUAUAUAUAUAUAUAUAUAUAUA
rnacentral:rRNA from 1 species